rnacentral:tRNA from 163 species
GGCCCCUUAGCUCAGCUGGAUAGAGCACCUGCCUUCUAAGCAGGUUGUCGCAGGUUCGAUUCCUGCAGGGGUCGCCA